rnacentral:rRNA from 1 species
AUGGCCUGUUUCAGAUUACCCAGAGGCCUAUGUGAGAACAUCUCCUCCAUCAUUCGGCAGUUCUGGUGGGGAAGUAAAGCGGGGAAACAUAAACCAGCUUGGGUGGCUUGGGACAUUUUGACACGCCCAAAACAUCUUGGAGGCCUCGGGUUCCGGGAUAUGGAGGUUUUUAACCUUGCUUUGUUAGCAAGGCAAGCAUGGAGGAUACUUCAGGAUCCUGAUUCACUAAGCUCGCGGAUUCUCAAGGCAGCUUAUUUUCCUCACUCAUCUGUAAUGGAGGCGGAGCUUGGCAAUAGACCUUCACAAAUUUGGAGAGCAAUUCUUGGUGGAAGAGGUAUGCUUAGGCUAGGCCUUAUCAGGAGGAUUGGUAAUGGGCAAACCACGCAUAUAUGGACGCAUAAUUGGUUACCACGACCGGGGAUGAUGAGGCCCAUUACGCCUAUUACUCCGAACCCUCCACAGUUGGUCUCAGAAUUGAUGCACACGAUGACAGCGAGCUGGAAUGAGCAGCUGGUCUGA